AAAUUGAAGAGUUUGAUCAUGGCUCAGAUUGAACGCUGGCGGCAGGCCUAACACAUGCAAGUCGAACGGUAACAGAAAGCAGCUUGCUGCUUUGCUGACGAGUGGCGGACGGGUGAGUAAUGUCUGGGAAACUGCCUGAUGGAGGGGGAUAACUACUGGAAACGGUGGCUAAUACCGCAUAACGUCGCAAGACCAAAGAGGGGGACCUUCGGGCCUCUUGCCAUCAGAUGUGCCCAGAUGGGAUUAGCUUGUUGGUGAGGUAACGGCUCACCAAGGCGACGAUCCCUAGCUGGUCUGAGAGGAUGACCAGCCACACUGGAACUGAGACACGGUCCAGACUCCUACGGGAGGCAGCAGUGGGGAAUAUUGCACAAUGGGCGCAAGCCUGAUGCAGCCAUGCCGCGUGUAUGAAGAAGGCCUUCGGGUUGUAAAGUACUUUCAGCGGGGAGG
rnacentral:rRNA from 1 species